AAACCUGAGAGUCUGAUCCUGGCUCAGAGCGAACGCUGGCGGCAGGCUUAACACAUGCAAGUCGAACGAGAAGCCGGGCUUCGGCCCGGUGGACAGUGGCGCACGGGUGAGUAACGCGUGGGAACCUGCCCAUGAGUGGGGAAAAACGGUUGGAAACGACCGCUAAUUCCGCAUACGCCCUACGGGGGAAAGGCUUCGGCCGCUCAUGGAUGGGCCCGCGUCCGAUUAGCUAGUUGGUGAGGUAAUGGCUCACCAAGGCGACGAUCGGUAGCUGGUCUGAGAGGACGAUCAGCCACAUUGGGACUGAGACACGGCCCAGACUCCUACGGGAGGCAGCAGUGGGGAAUAUUGGACAAUGGGCGAAAGCCUGAUCCAGCCAUGCCGCGUGAGUGAUUUGAAGGCCCUAGGGUUGUAAAGCUCUUUCGGCGGGGAAGAUGAUGACGGUACCCGCAGAAGAAGCCCCGGCUAACUCCGUGCCAGCAGCCGCGGUAAUACGGAGGGGGCUA
rnacentral:rRNA from 1 species